CAAUAAUAAUACCUAUAUUUAUACUUCGCAGCUGCAGCUUGUAGCCUAUACUACUAAGAUACUACUAGGAGACUACACUAUAGAGUGUCUAAAAUAAGGAGGGACCAGGAGUUAUUUAAAAGCUGAAAGAGGAUUGUUUCAUGACCAGACUCGACUGGAGUAAAGCAAGUGUUUUUCUAGGCAUUGACGGAAAAAGGCUAUGGUAUGACUUUGACGAGCUGUAUAUAGUUCCAACCCAGUGGACAGGCUUCAGCACCUUGUUCAUGUUCACACCCAACUGUACUUCGGCACUCAACUUGAUAUGGCAUGGCUCCAUCCUGAAAUUUCAUCACCGAAGACGAUUGCCAAAAAGGCCGUACCUGCCUCUGUUGUAGCUUCUAACACUUUAUAACGAAGAAGCAGACAAUGGUACUAUUAAUUUGCUGCAACAAUACUCUGUACUCAUG